UGAAGGAACAGGAGGUUUCAGGCAGAGGAAGCCUGGCAGCGUCUCACAUAAACAAAGAAGAAAAAGGAAGGAUGCUGCUUUGUAGUUGCUGGUGAUGUUGGCCUUCAAGUUGUUACAGCAAGAACCAGAUGCAAGGCAAGCAAAUAUUGAAAGGCCCAUGAAAGCAAGUUGGGAUAAAACUGAUGAAAGCAAGAGGACCACUUUGUCUUCUAUACAAUUGCUGCAUUGCCCCUGAAAGGGAGGAGAUUACACAUGAAUCAGAAUUUAAAUUGGAUGACAUCAGACAACAAAUUAAUCCCAAGAGCUAUCAGAGGAUAUGAAUUUAUUCUAUUCCACUGUCACUGCAGAGCUGUGGGAAGACAUGUUGCUAUUUCUUUUCAAUACUUCAUCAAAACAUGUUUAUCAGUCAGUGUAAAAGAAAUUAAUAAACAAUUCAUAUUUACCAUAGUAAACAGUGGGGGAGAAAGCAAGACACCUUUCUCCGAAGCACAGGAUAGGCAUCUUGUAUGUGACAUUGAGCGCUACAUUCACUGAUUACUUGCUGGGAAUGGCCAACUCAGAUGGGGAGCUGCUGUUGAUGUGCUGGUAAUGUGACGAAAAGGAGCGCUGGCACCCUUUGGAGUAACACAGUCUUUACUCAACGUUCAUGAUGGCUUCUCAUUCUCUGGCAACACUGGGUUGUGUGAGUUUUCCAAGAAGCUGUACACCUUGAGACAGAGUCUGGCCAAAGAGAAGAAUGUUUUCUAUGCCCUGAAAGUCCAGAGAUCAGAUUCAAAGCAUACACUGCCUCAUAUGUUUUCAGUUAAAGCAGAAAAGUCAAUCUAGAAGAGAGCAUUUC
rnacentral:lncRNA from 1 species